AGAACAUGGAGUUUCCACC
rnacentral:snRNA from 1 species